UGGAGCAGCCUUGAGCCACAACUCAGACUUAUUUUCAUUCUCUGCUCAUUGGCCAUUAGGAACCCGAUCCUUAUGACCUGCAGUGACCUGCUGCUACCAGAACUGACUCGCUUCAAAGUGAUGGAUGAAACCCAUAUGGAGAUAUUCCUGGGGUGGGUAGGCCAGUUGGAAGACAGAGUGUUUACACAUGAGAGAGGACUUGAGAAUUUUACUCAGUCACGUUGCUCACUGCUGCGCACUCCUGCAGACGCAUCCCAGUGGACUCUGCGCUGCAUCCCCAGAGUACAGCGAGUUUCCCGCCUCCCGUUAGAGAUCCAACACAUAUUUUUUUGAAAGAAGAAACUGAUGGAAGACAGGAAGCAAAAAGGAGAGGAAGGAAAGGGAUAGGAAGGAGGGGAAGGAAAGGGACAGGAAGGAGGAAAAGGAAAGGGAAAGGAAGGAAAAGAAAGGAAAGGGAACUUGAAAUCCUACAAGGUCUCAAAGUCAAAAAACAUGAUUGCUGUUUUAGAGAAUUGAAGAUCCUUCAUCUUCAAGAAUCUGAAAUCUACCAUGAUCUUCACAUGUAGCAAAACACAAUGGGAUGUAGUCAUUUAAGAGUGCUGUGAAGGCAGU
rnacentral:lncRNA from 1 species